AAUCAACGCUGGCGGCGUGCCUAACACAUGCAAGUCGAACGCGAAAGGGGGCUUCGGCCCUGAGUAGAGUGGCGAACGGGUGAGUAACACGUGGGUGAUCUACCUUUGAGUGGGGGAUAACGUUCCGAAAGGAGCGCUAAUACCGCAUGACGUUCCGGGUUUGAAGACCUGGAAACCAAAGCCGGGGACCGCAAGGCCUGGCGCUCGGAGAGGAGCCCGCGUCCGAUUAGCUAGUUGGCGGGGUAACGGCCCACCAAGGCGACGAUCGGUAGCCGGCCUGAGAGGGCGGACGGCCACACUGGGACUGAGACACGGCCCAGACCCCUACGGGAGGCAGCAGUGGGGAAUUGUUCGCAAUGGCGCAAGCCUGACGACGCAACGCCGCGUGGAGGAUGAAGGUCUUCGGAUCGUAAACUCCUGUUGACGGGGAAGAAUGGCUCCCUUUUUAAUACAUUGGGGAAUGACGGUACCCGUUGAGGAAGCCACGGCUAA
rnacentral:rRNA from 1 species